rnacentral:misc_RNA from 1 species
GAUGAAGAACGCAGCGAAAUGCGAUAAGUAGUGUGAAUUGCAGAAUUCAGUGAAUCAUCGAAUCUUUGAACGCACAUUGCGCCCGCCAGUAUUCUGGCGGGCAUGCCUGUUCGAGCGUCAUUACAACCCUCAGGCCCCCGGGCCUGGCGUUGGGGAUCGGCAGAAGCCCCCUGUGGGCACACGCCGUCCCUCAAAUACAGUGGCGGUCCCGCCGCAGCUUCCAUUGCGUAGUAGCUAACACCUCGCAACUGGAGAGCGGCGCGGCCAUGCCGUAAAACACCCAACUUCUGAAUGUUGACCUCGAAUCAGGUAGGAAUACCCGCUGAACUUAAGCAUAUCAAUAAGCGGAGGA